rnacentral:lncRNA from 1 species
UUUUUUUUUUUUUUUUCGAUUUUUUUUAUAUGUUUAUAUAAUUUACGAUAACUGUGGUGUAUACGUGCUGUCAGACGAAAGAUACAUAUGUGCCCUCUAAAUAUCUUUUUUACUAUGGAUUGUUUGCUUUCGUAUUGACGUUUAACACACAACUUUAAUUACUGACUGUGAUGUAUGUAGAAAUUCAAACGUACUGGAGAAUGAAGGAUGCAAAUCCAAGCUUUGAAUUAAAAUGGUCAUUAAAAUUGCAACACAAAUAAA